CCGCGGUAAUACGUAGGUGGCAAGCGUUGUCCGGAAUUAUUGGGCGUAAAGGGCUCGCAGGCGGUUUCUUAAGUCUGAUGUGAAAGCCCCCGGCUCAACCGGGGAGGGUCAUUGGAAACUGGGGAACUUGAGUGCAGAAGAGGAGAGUGGAAUUCCACGUGUAGCGGUGAAAUGCGUAGAGAUGUGGAGGAACACCAGUGGCGAAGGCGACUCUCUGGUCUGUAACUGACGCUGAGGAGCGAAAGCGUGGGGAGCGAACAGGAUUAGAUACCCUGGUAGUCCACGCCGUAAACGAUGAGUGCUAAGUGUUAGGGGGUUUCCGCCCCUUAGUGCUGCAGCUAACGCAUUAAGCACUCCGCCUGGGGAGUACGGUCGCAAGACUGAAACUCAAAGGAAUUGACGG
rnacentral:rRNA from 2 species